CCUUCCAACUGGCCGAGCUGCAGUACUUCAACCGCGACCACGUCCCGCGUUGCGUCAUUCUUACACUCGAAAGACGCAAUGGCUGCUAUCUCCUGCGCCCCCACCGUCCGCGCGACCGCCGCGCCCAAGGUUGCCGUCCGCCGCACCAACGUGCGCGCGGCCGCCUCCGGCCUCCGCACCCAGUUCGGUGCCGUCAAGGGCUUCGCCCCCGUCGGGUGAGUAGAACGUCCGGCGCUGCCGAUGACGUAUUGCACGCUGUUUGCUCCCAUUUUCCGCACGUUGGAUAGCGGACCGGACGACGACCUGGCGCGACGCCGGGGCGCCGAUGGGGUCCGGCGCGGCCGUCCGGGAUCGAUUCGACAUCUGAUGAGUCGCUACGACGCGCGGUAUCGCCGCGUUUCUCGUCGCGACGUCCGUCGGGGGCGCGUUAUCCGGCGGGCUCCGUGUCCCGGAUUUAGGGCUCAAGGCUGGGUGCCAGUCUGGGAGCGGAUAGGGGUUGAGGGGGGGCCUCAGCGCGAGGGACCGCGGCCGACGCGCGCGACCGAUCCGAGCGUAUCCUGCGCGCGUUUCGACCCGCGUCGAUGCGACGUCCCUCCCGGAGCGAUCCCCGCGCGUGGCCGCGGAACGAUCGCGAUCCGCCACGCCGCGCGCCCCGCGGCACCCCCCGUGAUCACCCCGAUCUUUCGCCCGGGAGAAAUAUCUCCGUCCACUUGUCACGGGCUGAAAAUCCAGAAAUCACGCGCUGACCUCGCCUCCCCUCUUCCCCCCCUUCACGACAGUGUCUCCGCCCCCAAGGCGCGCGGCAACCUCCAGGUCGUCGCCGGUGUCACCAAGAAGCCCGACCUCUCCGACCCCGUCCUCCGCGCCAAGCUCGCGAAGGGCAUGGGCCACAACUACUACGGCGAGCCCGCGUGGCCCAACGACCUCCUCUACAUCUUCCCGGUCGUG
rnacentral:lncRNA from 1 species